AUGAACGCUGGCGGCGUGCCUAAUACAUGCCAGUCGAGCGAACAGACGAGGAGCUUGCUCCUCUGACGUUAGCGGCGGACGGGUGAGUAACACGUGGAUAACCUACCUAUAAGACUGGGAUAACUUCGGGAAACCGGAGCUAAUACCGGAUAAUAUAUUGAACCGCAUGGUUCAAUAGUGAAAGACGGUUUUGCUGUCACUUAUAGAUGGAUCCGCGCCGCAUUAGCUAGUUGGUAAGGUAACGGCUUACCAAGGCAACGAUGCGUAGCCGACCUGAGAGGGUGAUCGGCCACACUGGAACUGAGACACGGUCCAGACUCUUACGGGAGGCAGCAGUAGGGAAUCUUCCGCAAUGGGCGAAAGCUUGACGGAGCAACGCCGCGUGAGUGAUGAAGGUCUUCGGAUCGUAAAACUCUGUUAUUAGGGAAGAACAAAUGUGUAAGUAACUAUGCACGUCUUGACGGUACCUAAUCAGAAAGCCACGGCUAACUACGUG
rnacentral:rRNA from 1 species